rnacentral:rRNA from 1 species
AUUGAACGCUGGCGGCAGGCCUUACACAUGCAAGUCGAGCGAGAGGCGGACGGGAGAGAACUGUACGGGGAUCUGCCCGAUAGAUGGGGAUAACUACUGGAAACGGUGGCUAAUACCGCAUACUAUCGGAUGAACCCAUAUGGGAUUAGCUAGUAGGUGGGGUAAAGGCACACCGCGGCGACGAUCACUAGCUGGUCUGAGAGGAUGAACAGCCACACUGGGACUGAGACACGGCCCAGACUCCUACGGGAGGCAGCAGUGGGGAAUAUUGCACAAUGGGCGCAAGCCUGAUGCAGCCAUGCCGCGUGUAUGAAGAAGGCCUUAGGGUUGUAAAGUACUUUCAGCAGGGAGGCGUUACCCGCAGAAGAAGCACCGGCUAACUCCGUGCCAGCCGCCGCGGUAAUAC